AUUGAACGCUGGCGGCAGGCCUAACACAUGCAAGUCGAGCGAGCGGCGGACGGGUGAGUAAUAUCUGGGAAACUGCCUGAUGGAGGGGGAUAACCACUGGAAACGGUAGCUAAUACCGCAUACCGUCAGCUGUGCCAAGGUGGGAUUAGCUAGUAGGUGGGGUAACGGCUCACCUAGGCGACGAUCCCUAGCUGGUCUGAGAGGCUGACCAGCCACACUGGAACUGAGACACGGUCCAGACUCCUACGGGAGGCAGCAGUAGGGAAUAUUGCACAAUGGGCGCAAGCCUGAUGCAGCCAUGCCGCGUGUGUGAAGAAGGCCUUCGGGUUGUAAAGCACUUUCAGCGGGGAGGCGUUACCCGCAGAGGAAGCACCGGCUAACUCCGUGCCAGCAGCCGCGGUAAUAC
rnacentral:rRNA from 1 species